rnacentral:rRNA from 1 species
AUGGCUUUCCCCCCUGGCAGAUGGCCGGCGAUCACUACUGCGAUCUCGCUGGCAUGGGCAUGGGUGGCGGCGAGCGGCCGCGGGGUCGACGGGGGCGACAUGCUGAUGAUGGACAGGUUCCUCCGGUGGCAGGCCACGCACAACCGAUCGUACCCGAGCGCGGGGGAGAGGCUGCGGCGCUUCCAGGUGUACCACGACAACGUGGAUUACGUCGACGCCACCAACCGCCGCGGCAACCUCACCUACCGGCUCGGCGAGAACCAGUUCGCCGACCUCACCCGGAAGGAGUUCCUCGCCAAGUUCAUGUCUUACGACGGCAACGAUCGCACCGAGGAUGAUAAUACGGUCAUCACGACGGCCCAGGGCGCCGACGCCAACAUGUGGUCGUCUGGCGGCGUCAAUGUCUCCUUGGAUCCGGCCAGCGUGGACUGGAGGGCCAAAGGAGCCGUGGUGCCGCCCAAGACGCAAACCUCAUCGUGUUUCAGCAGCUGGGCGUUCACGGCGGUGGCGACGAUCGAGAGCCUCCACUCGAUCAAGACGGGGAAGCUGGUGCCCCUCUCGGAGCAGCAGCUGCCCGUGGCCGCGGCCAUCGAGCUCGGCAGCGACAUACAGUUCUAUAAGAGCGGCGUCUACUCGGGCCCCUGCGGGACGCGUCUCCAGCAUGUCGUCACCGUCGUCGGCUACGACGCCGAUGAGUCCACAGGUGAGAAGUUCUGGAUCGUCAAGAACUCGUCGGGCCAGACAGUGGGUGUAGAAGAACCACUCUCCAUGCAGCGCAGAAUCCUGGGCCCGGGGCUCUGUGGCAUCAUGCUCGAUGUCGCCUACCCGACCAUGUCAAUGUGA